GUGUCAGCAGCCGCGGUAAUACGGGGGGGGCAAGCGUUGUUCGGAAUUACUGGGCGUAAAGGGUUCGUAGGUGGCUGGCUAAGUCAGACGUGAAAUCCCUCAGCUUAACUGGGGAACUGCGUCUGAGACUGGCGAGCUUGAGUGCAGGAGAGGAACGCGGAAUUCCAGGUGUAGCGGUGAAAUGCGUAGAUAUCUGGAGGAACACCGGUGGCGAAGGCGGCGUUCUGGACUGUAACUGACACUGAGGAACGAAAGCCAGGGUAGCAAACGGGAUUAGAUACCCCUGUAGUCC
rnacentral:rRNA from 1 species